rnacentral:rRNA from 1 species
UCACGUCGUCUGUGAAAUUCCACAGCUUAACUGUGGGCGUGCAGGCGAUACGGGCUGACUUGAGUACUGUACGGGUAACUGGAAUUCCUUGGUGUAGCGGUGAAAUGCGCACAUAUCAAGAGGAACACCGAUGGCGAAGGCAGGUUACUGGGCAGUUACUCGACGCUGAUGACCGAAAGCAUGGGUAGCAUACAUGAUUAGAUACCCUGGUACUCAAGGGCG